rnacentral:rRNA from 1 species
ACGGGAGGCAGCAGUGGGGGAUAUUGCACAAUGGAGGAAACUCUGAUGCAGCAACGCCGCGUGAAGGAAGAAGGCCUUCGGGUUGUAAACUUCUGUCCUUGGUGACGAUAAUGACGGUAGCCAGGGAGGAAGCCACGGCUAACUACGUGCCAGCAGCCGCGGUAAUACGUAGGUGGCAAGCGUUGUCCGGAAUUACUGGGUGUAAAGGGUGCGUAGGCGGCUCAUAAAGUCAGAUGUGAAAUACCGGGGCUUAACUCCGGAGCUGCAUUUGAAACUUAUGGGCUUGAGUGAAGUAGAGGUAAGCGGAAUUCCUAGUGUAGCGGUGAAAUGCGUAGAUAUUAGGAGGAACACCAGUGGCGAAGGCGGCUUACUGGGCUUUAACUGACGCUGAGGCACGAAAGCAUGGGUAGCAAACAGGAUUAGAUACCCUGGUA